UACGUAGGGUCCGAGCGUUGUCCGGAAUUAUUGGGCGUAAAGGGCUCGUAGGCGGUUUGCCGCGUCGGGAGUGAAAACACGGGGCUUAACCCCGUGCCUGCUUCCGAUACGGGCAGACUAGAGGUAUGCAGGGGAGAACGGAAUUCCUGGUGUAGCGGUGAAAUGCGCAGAUAUCAGGAGGAACACCGAUGGCGAAGGCAGGUCUCUGGGCCACUACUGACGCUGAGAAGCGAAAGCAUGGGGAGCGAACAGG
rnacentral:rRNA from 1 species